UAGGGAAUCUUCGGCAAUGGACGAAAGUCUGACCGAGCAACGCCGCGUGAGUGAAGAAGGUUUUCGGAUCGUAAAACUCUGUUGUUAGAGAAGAACAAGGACGUUAGUAACUGAACGUCCCCUGACGGUAUCUAACCAGAAAGCCACGGCUAACUACGUGCCAGCAGCCGCGGUAAUACGUAGGGGGCAAGCGUUGUCCGGAUUUAUUGGGCGUAAAGCGAGCGCAGGCGGUUUCUUAAGUCUGAUGUGAAAGCCCCCGGCUCAACCGGGGAGGGUCAUUGGAAACUGGGAGACUUGAGUGCAGAAGAGGAGAGUGGAAUUCCAUGUGUAGCGGUGAAAUGCGUAGAUAUAUGGGGGAACACCAGUGGCGAAGGCGGCUCUCUGGUCUGUAACUGACGCUGAGGCUCGAAAGCGUGGGGAGCAAACAGG
rnacentral:rRNA from 1 species